rnacentral:lncRNA from 1 species
CAUGUUUGUAUCACAGAAAGUUUAACGAACUCACUAUUUGCUAAAAAUUGCCUCUGUAACGUGAAGAAAUCGAUCGAUUUCUUCACGAUCGGAUUAUAUUUGUUUUCAAUACUGUUGUCAAUAUUAGUUUAGUGUUGAAAACAUAGAAUCGCGAAAAACAAAUGAAUUCAAAUUCGAAAAAAAAAGAAUGAAAUAUUAAUAUAAAUCGAAUUUGA